rnacentral:rRNA from 1 species
GACGAACCGUGCGAACGUUAUUCGGAAUCACUGGGCUUAAAGGGCGCGUAGGCGGGUUGUCAAGUCAGGGGUGAAAGCCUCCAGCUCAACUGGAGAAGUGCCUUUGAUACUGAUGAUCUUGAGGGAGGUAGGGGCAUGUGGAACUUCCGGUGGAGCGGUGAAAUGCGUAGAUAUCGGAAGGAACGCCGGUGGCGAAAGCGACGUGCUGGACCUCUUCUGACGCUGAGGCGCGAAAGCUAGGGGAGCGAACGGG